rnacentral:rRNA from 1 species
CCUACGGGAGGCAGCAGUGGGGAAUAUUGGGCAAUGGGCGCAAGCCUGACCCAGCAACGCCGCGUGAAGGAAGAAGGCUUUCGGGUUGUAAACUUCUUUUCUCAGGGACGAAGCAAGCGACGGUACCUGAGGAAUAAGCCACGGCUAACUACGUGCCAGCAGCCGCGGUAAUACGUAGGUGGCAAGCGUUAUCCGGAUGUACUGGGUGUAAAGGGCGUGUAGGCGGGACUGCAAGUCAGAUGUGAAAACCACGGGCUCAACCUGUGGCCUGCAUUUGAAACUGUAGUUCUUGAGUGCUGGAGAGGCAGACGGAAUUCCUGGUGUAGCGGUGAAAUGCGUAGAUAUUAGGAGGAACACCAGUGGCGAAGGCGGUCUGCUGGACAGCAACUGACGCUGAGGCGCGAAGGCGUGGGGAGCGAACAGGAUUAGAUACCCGAGUAGUC